GUGGCCUAGUGGUUAGAGCGUCCACCUCAGAUGCAGGUGGUCGUGGGUUCGAUCCUCGGUCAAGUCA